ACUCCAGCCUGGGUGACAGAGCAAGACCCUAUCUCAAAAAACAAAAAAAAAAAAAGAAAAAGAAAAUAUCCUUAUUUGAAGUAUUCAGGGUAAAAGGCCAGAAUGUAUCUAACUUAUGCUCGAAUGGUUCAAGGAAAACAAAGAUGUACUUAUGUGUCUAUAUACAGUUAUCUAUACAAAGAGGAAUCACAAAUAAUAAAGCAAAUGGGAA